rnacentral:misc_RNA from 1 species
AACGUCAUCCCCCGGAUCUCUCCGGCCCAUACUUCCCAUGUCAAGGGUUGGUAAGGUUCUGCGCGUUGCUUCGAAUUAAACCACAUGCUCCACCGCUUGUGCGGGCCCCCGUCAAUUCCUUUGAGUUUCAAUCUUGCGAUCGUACUUCCCAGGUGGGAUACUUAAUGCUUUCGCUCAGACACACACAGUGUAUCGCGUAUGUCGAGUAUCCAUCGUUUAGGGCGUGGACUAC